GUUUAAUAAAAAUCAAAUAAAAGCAAUUAUAUGAAUUUUCAAGAGGAUCACCUCUUCCUUCCCUGAGGUAUGAAGCAGAAUGAAUUCAGGAAAUCAUUUGAAUCAGAAGCUUGAGCUGCACAACACAGCCAGUGUUUGCUGUACAAAGACAAACAGACAUCUCUUCCCAGGCUAGCAGUCUGCUUGCUGGGGCUGUCCGAGUGGAAAUUCCACCUAUGGGCAAAGGAGGGUAAUUAAAGAAGCACAAGAAUUUCCUUGUAGUAGUUCUGGCUCUUCUGCUCCAGAGAAGCCUUCAUCUUUUCAAGUAUUCAUGCUCUUCUUUAUUUAUGCAAGAAGAAAUUGGACACAGUGAAACACUCAGAGCUGCCACAGAUCUCUGUAAGCAAAUAUAUGUGAAUUGAUACCCAUUAACAUUAACAACUUGCUCCUCUGCUCUCAGAGGGCCAGGUUUACCGAUUUCCUCUACCUUACGCAGUCAUUCAGGUUAAUAGAGAGUAUUUGCAAAGCACCAUCAAGUAGGACCAAUCCUGAAAUAUUCGCCUUUACACUUUCCAGUUGGAAAAUGCACUUUGAGUGAAAUGCAAACUUUAUUGUAAGAAUGUGUUGCUUUCAAUGCCAUUUUAAAAGGCAGAGAGCAGAAAUGCAUUAUAUCAAUAUUCUCAUUUACUCUGAUAAGAGGAAAACUUUUCGUGCUGACUUUCCUUUCAGUUGCUUUUGUUUUUAAUAUAAUGGUAAAGUAAGUAUUGCAAUACUGGUGCUACUGUUUAAAAUUUGAUAAGCAUGGUUAUACAAAUUUUUUACAAGAAAUCUACAGUGUGCCCACUUUCUCUCUCAGAUUCAGAAUGAAAACAAGUUCUGAAGUAAAAAUCUUACUGUUAGAUUAAAAUAUAUAGCAAGGUUAGACACUGCUUGGAAGUCAGAUGCAGAGGAACUUCAUUGCCUUCAAAAGAGAAACUUCUGCUUCCUGCCAUGUUCCAGGAGAGCAGAGGUAUGUUCUUCAUAUUAUAAAGCACUGGUAGAUGGUAGCUAAAUAUUUUAAAGGAGCUGAUUUUACUCUGCUUAACUGAUAUUUAUACAAUGCUUUGACCUCUGCAAAAGGAGGACAGCUAAAGUUGGAUGGAAGAAGUGGAAGCCAGACACUGUGACCAGGUGCCAUAUUUUCACUGUGAAUGUAUCACAGCCUUGUACUCUUGGUCAAAUCAUUUAGGGUUUGAAUCGGUCUUACAGGCUUUGGUCCUUACAUAUCUCAUGUAAUCACUUCUUCUGUGAGCCAGAUUCUUGCUCUGAAAUCUAACUCUCCGUGGCUGAUCUUUAGCAGCCCAUCAAUUAGUAGAGCAGACACUGACUUAAAAUGUAACAACAAUUUUGACUCUAGUCAAAACAAUGUAAAUGGAAAAACAUAGCAAUGCCAGAAUAACACCCAAUGAGGUAGAAAAAUAGGGAGAAAAAAACCUCUGAUCCUAAUCUUGCAACAAAUUGUAUGCAAAUACUGCCUCAGGAGAGCUUUUGGGCUGUGAGAUUUUUCCUGUUAAAUAUUUUGUAGAAUUUGGGCCUUAAUUUUAUGUCACAGAAGCAGAGAAAAACAGUGGAGAGGGGUUUAUAUCUGUACCUACUGAUGCCAUAUAAGAUUCAUGGUUCAGUUCCCCUGAAAAGAAAAGCAACAGGUUUCUUGUUAUCUAUCUUUUAUAAUACUUGGAAUAUAAGUGCUGUUGUGCCAGACUGCCAGUUAUUUGGCACACAUUACCGCCAGAGAAAUGCCUCAGAACUGAGAAAUGCAGGUUCUUCAAAUUAAAAGAGGAAAAAUAAUCUCACUGCAGGUGUCUUAAAUAUUUCAGGAGGUACAUGAAUUCCACUCUGGCAAGCUGUGUCUUUCACGUACCUAUAAAAAAGCAAAAUGAUUGGUCAUACAUUUAAGAGUCAUUGCCAACUACCAUUUUCUCCAGAUCAAUUCAAAACAAGAUAGGAUGGAUGUUUGAUACCAGGUUAAGGGAGUAUUUUUUGUUUGUUUGUUUGUUUUUGCUCAUUUGCUUUUUUUCAACUUUAUCUUCGGAGAGGCGGGUUCUGGUUUUCACUUCCCCACUCUGCAGAGCCUCCAGUCAUUGAGAAGUGACUCUAGUCAUUGAAGGGGGCAAGUCUGAGUAGAGGACAGGCGCAUUAUCAGACAUUGCCCAUAGUUUUCUUUUACCUGUGAAUAUGACAAAACAAACAGCAGCAUGAGAAUGUGUACAUUCUCCCCACCGAGAUUUAUUUUAGAAAAGAUGCCUUUUGAUUUCAGGACUUUGAUAGGUUACCCAGUACUUCCCUGAUCUAACCUUCAAGUCCUAUCAAGACAGUAUAGUGUUUGAGGUGUCAUUGCUAACCUCUGCAUUCCCCACAAGACUGUAAAGUCUGAACAAAAAUAAUUCUGAAAGUCUUCAUUGAGUUUUAUUCAGUAUUUAAACUAUUCCCCGUAACAGUAGCCCGAUAAUGUACAUCAUACAUCCUUUCUCCUGGGUUUGGGAUUCUUCCAGGUUUUUAAAGUUGAAGUCUAGGUAGUAUUUAGAGCUCUUAAAAGUAAUUCUACAUUUUGGGACUCUUUUUGCUCUAGCUACCAGAUAGGAUCUAACUGCUACAUGCCAGCUGCCAAACGAAAAGAAAUCCAGAAAGGGAAUAUGGAAAAGUGGGGUUGGUAUAAAGAAUUUCAUCAAAUGUCAGGAAGCCAUUAAUUCAGGACAAACUUGCUAUAUGUUCCUCUGCUUUGUUUAAAACAAAGCACUGACAAAAAAUGUAGACUUACGUACAAUAACAGGAAAUCAAACAGAUACUAUUCCAGCAUGUGUAGUGGAAAAUGCGUAUGUAUAGAAAUUAAAUAAAAGAAAAUCCUUCAGCUAAAAAAAGACACUUAAAAGAUGACUUUUCAGCUUUUAAAGUUUAGAAGGCAAGAUAGAGUGGAACAAGUGUGAUUCUGCUUGAGAUAAUAGGAUAAUUCUUCCUCUUUAAAGGAACAAGCCUAGCAAGCAAACAAACACUCACAACUGUCUGUAAUCAUAUAUCAUGAUGCAGCAAAUAGGCAAUAGCUGCCUGGCUGUGGCUCACAUGAGGGAUGAAGCCAAUGGGCUUUGUCUGCUCUGUAGAGGGAAAACUUUACAGUGAGUUUGUGGAGGUUAGCAAGGACAGUACACUCAGGUGGUUUAGCCUACAUUUAAAUGAGAAUGACUCAGCACAGUGAUUUAAAAUACACCUGUACUGUGGCUGGCUUGUUGGAACAGGGCACCUGCCAGUUCAGCUCACGAGUCAGGAACAGGUUCAGGUACAGGUUCUGGUCAUGUAUUUGCCAUGGAUUUUUGAGCAAAUCCCAUUGCCUAGAUUUCCAAGAAUAUCUUCCAUUCCUAGAUGUUCUGGUAGCAAAUAUUCAGCAAAGGACACCUUCGUGUGUCCCAACAGUCAGCACCAAGUUGCCAUUUGUGUCAGAAUUGCUCAUGCUAGGAUCUCAGACCAAUCAGUUCAUUACACAAACACCUCUUGUGAUACAUAUCAAUAAGCAUAUAUUUGUAUUUAUUUAGAUCAACUUAUAUUUAACAAUAUUUUUUCAUAUUGUUCAUGCAGACCAAAAGAAUCACACAGAAGUAGGAAAUAGGCCCACUGCUAACUGCAGGUGUUUUCAUGCUCAUGCUAUCAACUUGAGACACCAUGGACAUGACUUUCAGAAAGGACAACCUUCCAACUCUUCUUGCGAAGGAAUCUGAAUGUCAGCUGUACCACCAAACUGCUUUUGCAAAUCUGAUGAACCAAAACACUUCUCAUAAAUUAGGCAUUUUUUUCCUGCCUGAGUAAGCAUAUUUGUGUGGCAUGUGAAGAAGCACCAAGUCUGAGGGACCUUGCUGGAUUGAAGGCUUACUCAGUCUGUGUAGUCAUGAUGCUGGAAGCAAGUAUUUAUGAUACGAGCUGCCACUAGACAUAAACAUCUGAAAGACCUUUGGUCCUGCAUUAACAAAAAUUAAAGCACUAACUUAGCCUCACAAUGCUGCUGUACAACAAAAACAAGCCAAAAUAAAUUCCCUACAGACAGAUGGACAAUUCCCUACAGACAGAUAACCCAACUCAGCUGCUUUCCAGUCCUGAACACAAACCCUGUAUUUAAAGAAUUUUAGACACCCUCUACCCAUUACCUGAGGAACAGAUGAAUUUAUUGUAAAACUAAAGGAAAUUAAUUCAACAGAUCACUGUUUUAGCAACGUUUAUUUAUUUAUUAUCAGAAGGAGUACAGUUAGUUGUGUGAAAUCCUCCUGUACUCCUUCAAGAUUCUCAGUGCAUUAACAAACAUGUUUCCGCAAAUCCAAAAGUUUAAGAUGAUGCUUUGCUUUCUUUAAUCUCUAUCAGGCAUGGAUACAGACAUUCUUAACACCAUAGGAAAUAAAAAAAAAAUCCUGAAAAUAUGUCCAUUCUUAGAAAUGAAGUAGAAAAUAGUCACUAUACAAGGUAGCUUCUCUUGUUUAAUUGGACGCCAGCAAUUAAAAUCUGCUUUUAACAUAACUUUUGUAUCACUAGAUUUGUUCAGUUUUUAUCAUAUAGUUUUAUGUUUUGUUUUAAUUUAGCUUUGAUUUUUUUUAAAGUGUCUUCAAAGAAAUGACUAAAAGAAAACAACACCUGAACGAUAUGGAAUGUGCUGGGGCAUAAUGAAAGUAGUUGCCAUGUAUGUGGAGUUUUUUGAUCCACGUAUAUAGACUUAGGUUUACAUAAAUAACUGUGUGGCUGUGUGUCCCCCAAAUCCUCUUAAAGCUGUGUUGUAAAUCCCAAGGAAGCUCCCCUUUGUGUCUUGUCUUUAGGUAUUUGGCCUCGGUAGCUUAAAGCUCUUGUACUGGCUCUUGGUUGCAACGGUCCUGAGGAAGCUGUGUAUGAGUAAGCAAUCCUGCAGAGGUGCUGUGUGGGCCAACAAGAACACCUGCAAUGAGGUGGCACAGGGAAGAAUAUUUCUGCUUAAGCACAAGUCAGGUUGGUGCCUUCCCAGUGGAUGCAAGUGUCAUGAGUGCAGGUAUCACCCAUAAAAGGAGCAUGUGGCUGAAGGGAUUAAAACCUCACACAGUGUGUUUUGGAGCAGCCAGCUUUUAGUGUGAAACAUCUAGUUGGUGCUCCAUGUCACAGCUCUCUGUCAUACUGCCCACUGAGCAGGACCUGUGAGCCCAGCAUGGCACAGUAGGGCUGCUCAGGGAGCUGUACGGUGGCCAAUGAGGCUGAACACCAGCUACGCUGCUUGUCUGCAUGCCUCGCAGUGAGAUGCAUGCUGUGUGUUUGCAAAGCUCCCUUUCCUUCUGCGGCUGCAGUUGUUAAGGAGCACUGAACUGCCCAGGCCCCUCCAUGCCCGCCAAGCAGAGGCUUGCUCAUCCCUGCAGCACAGAGCAGAGGGAAGCCCUGAGACCUGCAGUGCAGGGUGGGUGGGGAAAGCCAGGAUAGAAGGCAGGGAGUAUUUGAGCAUUAGCAAUGACCUACCAUGAAAACCAAUAUUUUUUUUUUUAAUUUUUAAUUAUUAUUAUUCUAACUGAUAAGAGAGUCUGAAAGAAGUUGUACCCAGGCAUGACAGUUCUGUUUGAUGAUAAAAUGGUAUCCCCUCUCCAGUUACUCAUGCAAAAAUGUCUGUUUUUAUUUAAGAAGUGUGCACUCCUGAGCCUCCUCCUCCUUUUCUUCCCCACUAGGUUACAUGACUGACACUUUUGCCAUGACAAAUCCAUGAGUGUUUUAAAAAUUUACCAUGAAAACCCUGGAGCUUUAAUUAUUGUGCAUUUACAUAAUUAGUGCAAAUACAUGCAAUUACCAUGUGUACCUACACAAUUACCAGCUACAAUGAUGUACUAACAAUCCUUAUUAAACUUUGGUGGGGGAGGGCCGUGUUGAUUGUAUGCGCGAGGAACAUCUGUAGCCCAGUCCUCCUUUUCUCUCCCUUGCUGGAAGCAACCAUGUGUUUAGGGAUAGGGGUUGGUGUGCUGGGAACAGUGACAUGCUGGAAGUAGGUCAGUCAGCUGUCCAAAUCGGACUUCUAGGAGGUGAAAACACAGGAUGGAUAUUCCCAGUAAUGUUUCUAGGACAUAGUUUCUGCAGUUAGUGCAAUGCCAUCAAUACUUGAUUACCCAUGGGUUAAUUAUCCAAAUUGCGAGGUAACUGUGCUGCAUCAGUUAUGUGUAUCUUUGCUCACAUCUGCAGUUCACCUGAGUGGAAUCCCCCAGUUUCUGUCACAGCUGUACUUCUCUUGUCUUGAACCUGCAAGAGUCUACAUAAAGUGAGUCCUCUUGAUGUGACUUUGUGCCUUGUGGUGGCUUCAGGUGUCUACCUGAAUAUCUACUACAAGCGUUUCCAAAUGACUUAUUUAUCUUGAUUAAUCUUCUGCAAAGAAAAAAUGUUCCAGCUCACAAACACCCCCCUCUUGCAAAACUUAUGCUCUCUGUUUUACAGAAAUGGUUCAGUGUAAAAAUUCAUAGGAUCAUUAAAGUUGGAGAAGAUUUCUAAGGUCAUCACGUCCAACCAUCACUUCUGUUGUUUCGUGGACAAUGGAAUAGAGCAAGUGAUGCAUUAAGGACUGUACCUUUUCCUAUUGUUUCCACUUUUGCCCUUAUUCUGGUCCUCAGCAGCAAGGAAUUGCCUGUGGUACAUCUGAGAGAGCCUUGCAACAAAACUCCUCGCUGCUCCCUCUCCUCUAGAUAGUGCCUCAUGUAGGAAGGAAAAUGGUCUGCCGCCCGUUUGUUUCUUUUGCCUCAUGAAACACAGCUCAGGCUUUUUGCGUGUAAGCCUAUGGAGCGUAUGGUUGUACAGAAGAGCCUGCUUUUUGGUUGUGUUUGUUCGUUGCUUAUUUUUUUAGCCUAUUCUCACAGUAGAAAGCCAUCAUGUCUGUUAAAACAGUGAAAAAUUGAGAGGCUAAUUGUUGCUGCUAAAUGCAAUAAAGUAGUACUUUGGGUUUUCAGGCAUGUUUUAUGACCAAUAUGGCAAUUACUGAAUAAAAUCCCACGUCCUGGAAUGUUUAUUUGUGUAAACAACUUAUGGUUAUUUAUUCAUAUUUUUUGAAUUUUUUUUUUUUUUUGAAAUUGUAUUAACCAUCCCUUGUGGUACCAAAUACAGUUGGUUAGGGAAAAAAAAAAUUGAUGCCACAUGCUAAAUGGAAGGGUCCAUUGAGAAUCUAGUCCUGAAUGUAUUUAAGGCUCUGUUUUAUUCGGCAUGAUUAGCUGUGUUACAAGCCACCAUUAUGUUCUGGCAAGCUCUGUCUGAUUUGAAGCAGUCCUCGCUCUCCUCACAGUAACAUUUUACUUGCUGGUCUAUUUCCAUGCUGGUGGGCUGGCUUGGGGCUACCUCUCACAUAAACUCAGACCAGGGUUCAACCAAGAUGCUCUCCAGCUGGUGCUGGUGGCAUUUGACAUCUUUUCUUCAUGAUUGGGUCAUGUAAGAGCUGAAGACAAGGGGAGAAACAGAAGUAGAUCUUGGACCUCAGCAUGCAUGCUCUACAAAUGGCUGCAUUUGUUGUUCUUUAAAUCUCAUGAUCUUUUGCAAUUAAAAUUCAUACCUUCCCUGAAGUUAAAGCUUGUAUAAAGUUUUGUAUUCUUUUUCACUUUUUCCUCCCGAAUCUGUAUGAUACAGCUUAAAAAAAAAAAAAAAAAAAAAAAAAAAAAAAGUUUAACAACAACAGAAGUGGUCACAGUCCCUACUUACAGAUCUUACCUUCAGUAUUCGGAGGAUCAUUUUUGUUAUGGGAAAGGCUUGGUCCAGUCGAAUGACUUCGGCCCAGACCAAAUUUUGGUUUGAAGUUUCUCAAAGUUGAGAUUUAUUUGGUUUUUGACCUUAGAUUGAAUCGGCUCUAACAGGGCACUGUCUUGAUCUGCUUCAGAAGGGCAGAUUAUAUGCACUGGAGUGAAGAGUGUUUAUGUCCCUGUAAAAGUACACUUUCAGCACUAUAUAAAUAGCACGUUUACAAUGCUGCAUUUCCUCAGCUCACAUGUGAAGUUCCUUCUCAGUAACUUACAAUCACAUGGUGUGCCUUCUCUUCCUAUUCUUCUCGCUUUUUUUUUUUUUUAAUUUUGUUUUGUUUUGUUUUAAGCUAUGUCCUUGACUCUUGAAGGCACACAUCCUGGAUUUUAAUGCUAUCUCACCACAUCACAUUUUUAAGGGCUUUAUUCCCUUUGCCAAACUAGCCAAGUCGCCUUGCUUAACCUAGCAGGGUAUGCCAGGGAGGGCUGGGCACGAUGCUGUAAGCCAGAGCCUGGUGCUACACAAAGGACACCCCACGCCAAGCGCAGCCCUGGGAACCAAGCUGCCCGGUGGUGGUCCCAGAGCCAUGGUAUGUGCAAGGCCAGGCGCUUGGUUAUGCCAGCUGCCUUUCAGCAGCACACCAUGGUGGGUUUGGGGCUUCUAGGCAUGUUAAAUAACUUGCAAAAUUUUGGCAUAAAAAAGGGCUUGGCUCAGAUGAGAUGCAUUCCCUUAGUGACCGAGAAAAGUGCUGAUGCUACGGCUCCUAAUGCUGGAGCUCCUGUACAGAGCUGUGUACCAAGUUCCAGUCAAGAAUGACCACGGUACUGAAGCAGUAUAUACUGAGCAACACCAAAGAGGGACCAAGUUGAAGAUGACCUGCAGAUGUUCUUAGGCUUCAAAAGGGAAGGGGAAAAAAACAGAGAGCCCAAACCUCCAGCCAUUUCCCUCUUAAUGUCAUCAUUGUUUUCAAUCUGUUUUUCUCAGUAAAAUUGUUUACUUUUUCCUCUAGGGCUCCAGUUGCAUAACCACAUACUUCCUUAGUGUCUUUGCAUGGCAAUUUCAUGUCUAAUUAAAGAAUUCACAUGAACCUUGCUUCCCCCCCCCCCCAUAAGAGAUUAAAAUGGCCAUAGACUUUAAUACACUACACAAGUUUGUCUGCACGUGGUGAAAUGUGUACACCCUGACUGAAGCCCCACUUGGCCAUUAGGUUGCCUCCCCCGAUGUAAUGUGGUUGUGUUCCGUGGCACUGCUCCUGUGGCUCCGUGUAAGCAAGCUAGGAGAAGACGCCAUCUCCUUCGGUUUGGGGCAGCACCAGCUGGACUGCUCCGUGUGAGAUAGGCCCGCGGGCUGCGGCAAGGAGGGAGCAGAGGGAUGUCGGACGUAUGGGCGUCAGGUGAGAGCUCAGAAGGGCCUCGUGUCUGGGCAGCACCAGCUGCCCCCUGGCCUUGACACGAUGCUACGGGUAGCUAAAAGGAAGGAGAGCGCUGGUGUCAGAAGGCAGUAGGGAAUCAGCGCUGCCCAUACGGUCGCCUGCGUGUAUCGCAGGAGAGGUGCGUCAUCCCACAGCCCAUGCUGCGCUCCCCUGGGUUACCCUGGGCUGGGCACCGCAGCAGCAGUGGGUGCACGGCCGGUCGGGCUGCUGCCCGAGGCCUCCCCGCGCUGCAGCGAGCUGCGAGCGCUCCCCCGGCACGACGCGUGCCCAGCCUGUGAGCUACUUCACCGGCUCCAUCCCGGUGUGUGGCCGUAGUAUGAGUUACGAUAGCAGCAGAAUUCAUUUCAACUACGGCUGAGGGCGGGGGGAGGUUCUGCUUUAACACGCGAUCCUAUGGGGGCGGUGUCUCCGCCCGCCGCGGGUUGUGUGGCACGGCCGAGGUUGGCA
rnacentral:lncRNA from 1 species